AACUUUCAACAACGGAUCUCUUGGUUCCAGCAUCGAUGAAGAACGCAGCGAAAUGCGAUAAGUAAUGUGAAUUGCAGAAUUCAGUGAACCAUCGAAUCUUUGAACGCACAUUGCGCCCCUCGGUAUUCCGGGGGGCAUGCCUGUUCGAGCGUCAUUA
rnacentral:rRNA from 1 species